rnacentral:rRNA from 1 species
AUUGAACGCUGGCGGCAUGCCUAACACAUGCAAGUCGCACGCGAAAGGGGGCAACCCCGAGUAGAGUGGCGGACGGGUGCGUAAUACGUAGGAAUCUACCUGAUAGUGGGGGACAACCCGGCGAAAGCCGGGCUAAUACCGCAUACGACCUAUGGGUGAAAGCCGGGGACCGCAAGGCCUGGCGCUAUUAGAUGAGCCUGCGUCGGAUUAGCUAGUUGGUGAGGUAAAGGCUACCAAGGCGACGAUCCGUAGCUGGUCUGAGAGGACGACCAGCCACACUGGGACUGAGACACGGCCCAGACUCCUACGGGAGGCAGCAGUGGGGAAUAUUGGACAAUGGGGGCAACCCUGAUCCAGCAAUGCCGCGUGU